AUUCUUAUGGGAAGAUUUUAAGGCUGCAAGGAAGAGUAAAGUUGGACCACUUUCUAAUUUGAAGGUGGUUUUUGUUGGGGAACCAUCAAUCAAUGAUGGUGGGCCUAAGAGGGAAUUAUUUUGCGAGCUAUUAACAGUUAUUCAACGGAUGUUCUUUUGUGAUGGAUAUCCAGUUCAAUCAACAAUGGCAAUAAAUGGUGGUGAUUUUAAAUUAUGUGGUGAAAUCAUGAUGAUGUCUAAUGCAAGGUGGCCCAGCACCUAACUUCCUUGCACCAUCAGUGGUCUUCUAUAUUACUGGAAAACCACUUUUACCUUCAGAAAUUCGUAACUCUAUGUAUAAGUCAGCAUGUGAAAAUUUGCAUAAUGCCACAAGUGAUGCAGAAGUGAAGGAGCUGCUAAUGAAAGAAGAAAUGUUAGACAUCCUCAGUGAAAUUGGAUAUAGAGGAAUUCCGCAAAGAGAAACUUUGUCUGGUGUGGAAGUCAUUGUACAGUCUAUAUGUGUAAAAGAUCAGCUGAGUGAUUUUCUUCCUGCACUUCUCCAAAUUAUGCAGGGUAUAGAAGCAACUGGUUUGAUGGAUGUUAUAAAGAAAUCGCCAGAAAUUUGGGAACCAGUAUUUGGUAUUGGUAAUUCAUUCGAGAAAACAGGCAGUGAAUUUUUGGAUCAGUUAGUUGCAAUAUACAGCAGAGUCUCAAAUAAAAAAAAUGGCUGAGAUAGAUACUUUUAAAUACUUUUGUGAUGCAAUUGAAUGUUUAAGUGAAGGUAGGUAUUCAAAUGAAACUACAAAUCCUGCAAUUACUUCAUUGAAAUUACUAUUACUGUAAAUAGUGAAAAGGUAACAAAGAUUGAUUACAGUAUGUUGGCUUGAUGUGGAUGUGUGUAUGUUUUUAGGAACAAAACUACUACACAUGACAUAGCAUGAUUUGUGACACAUUUACAUGUUAUAUACACAA